CCCGUCCCGAUACAAUGGGUCCGUUUGACGCAGAGCUGUUUUUCUGAAGCGGUAUUUAAGCCUAAAUGUGCAGAGGCUGCUGUGCGGGUUUCAGCCGCGAGGAUUUCAGCCUUCAGAACCUGAAACUGAGAGCGGAGCCCCGGAUCGGAGCUUGGAGCUCAGACGGAGCUCGGAUGAGGACUGCUAGAGCUCCGCGCUGACCGAGCUCUCGUCCAUCACUCAUCGGUUGGAUGAUGAGUACUGGAUGAGCCUGAAAUGCCCUCCAGACAUUACGGAGCUGAUGUUGGGAGUCAAAGUGAAAAAAGUACAGAGUCACGCAAGGAAGGAAAAGAGCUAUGACCUGCUAAAAGCGAGCAAGAGAGUGAAAGAGGGAGAGCUUAUUUACUCAUUACUGCUUGUACACGAUUUACAUUAUAUACAUAUAUAUUUAAAUAUGUGUUGUAUUGAAGGGCCCAUAUCCUAUAUUUCUCUUGUAUUUUAUUAUUUUGUCCGAAGUGUACCUAUAACAUCAGUGGUGGUUUAUGGACCAAAAACAGUCAAAGUUCAUUUCAUGACCAUCUCCAUCUCUUAGAAUCCUCACAGGCAGUUUUGUUUUUACUAUGCCUUUAAAUAAAUAUGGAUAGGUAUAUGUAAUAUAGGUGAUAUAUGUAUAUGACCUUUGUUCUGGUUGCCUGCCCUGUGCCAACAGAGCAGACAUCAUAAGAAUGAAUUUAAAAUGUUUACUUUCCAUAUUUUGACUGUAUGGGCUCAGGAGUCAGCAGUGCAUUUUGAAACGUUAACUAUUAUUACACACUACAUUAAACUCUUUUAUUUGAAAAAGACAGUUUUAUGAUAUGGGUCCUUUAAGGUUUGAAAUGUGUUCUUUUGAUAUGUAAUGUAAUGUUAUGUAUCCUGUUUUCCAUGGUAAUGUACUUCAAAUUCUGCUAUUCUCAAAUAAAGUUCAAGAAAUUUUCCCAUUGA